rnacentral:misc_RNA from 1 species
UCUCUGGUUAGGAAACUAACUAGGGA